rnacentral:rRNA from 1 species
UACGUAGGCGGAAAAUUAAGUCAGUGGUGAAAUCCUGCAGCUUAACUGUAGAACUGUCAUUGAUACUGAUUUUCUUGAAUACAGUUGAGGUAGGCGGAAUAUGUAAUGUAGCGGUGAAAUGCUUAGAUAUUACAUAGAACACCGAUUGCGAAGGCAGCUUACUAAACUGUGAUUGACGCUGAGGCACGAAAGCGUGGGGAGCGAACAGGAUUAGAUACCCUGGUAGUCC